UACGGAGGGUGCAAGCGUUAUCCGGGUUCACUGGGUUUAAAGGGUGCGUAGGUGGGCAGGUAAGUCAGUGGUGAAAUCUCCGGGCUUAACCCGGAAACUGCCAUUGAUACUAUCUGUCUUGAAUACCGUGGAGGUGAGCGGAAUAUGUCAUGUAGCGGUGAAAUGCUUAGAUAUGACAUAGAACACCAAUUGCGAAGGCAGCUCACUACGCGAAUAUUGACACUGAGGCACGAAAGCGUGGGGAUCAAACAGG
rnacentral:rRNA from 1 species